rnacentral:rRNA from 1 species
GGUUGAUCCUGCCAGUAGUCAUAUGCUUGUCCUAAAGAUUAAGCCAUGCAUGUCCAAGUAUAAACCUUUAUACGGUGAAACUGCGAAUGGCUCAUUAUAUCAGUUAUAAUUUACUUGAUGAAUAUUUAUUACAUGGAUAACCGUGGUAAUUCUAGAGCUAAUACAUGCGUAAGGGGGUGGCAUUGUCACCCUGUAUUUAUUAGAUAAAACCAAAGCGAGGAGCAAUCCCCGUGUAUGGCGAGUCAUGAUAACUGGGCGGAUCGUAUGGCCUUGAGCUGACGACGCAUCAUUC